GCGAGUCUCCCUAUUCCAGCCUUGUUUGUGUCUGACUUCGUAGCUGCUCGGUUCCCAGUUUGGAGUAGGAGGUGCUGGCUGCUGCAGGUUGGAGGCUGGAGCCUGUGGGGCUGUAGCUGUCCUCGCAGACUCGUCUCGCCGGCUUGCUUUUGUCGCUGCAGUUGGUGGCAGCCGCGGACACUGCAGCUGGCCAGAGCAUAGAAAGGCGUCAGAUCAAAGAAGAUGGCCAUGGAGACAGCAGUGUGGUUGGAGUGGUAGGAGCCGGCCAUCACCGAGAGCUGCUCCGGGCCUGGCUGCUGAGUGCUAGAGCCUGCGGCCCAGUGACUUCCUUCACUGUGGUUGGUGGUGGCGGUGACAGAGACUGCAGCAUGACCAGAGUGGCUUUUCUGGCUUUGCCCGCCCAGCUGCUCUGGUGCCAGGAGGAGGAGGAGACACCUGGAGCCUGUGACACCACGGCUUGCCUCGCUGAUGGUGGGUGGCAGUGACGGAGACUGCAGCGUGCUGGAACGCCCCUGGCCCUGUCAUGGACCUGCCCUGGACCUGUCCUGGCCCUGGCCAGAUCCUCCCAUGAAGACCCCGCAGAGGGACCUCCACACAGAAACUCCCGACAGAGACUCACACAGAGACUCUUCAAAAGCAACACAGAGAUCCCCACGGAGACACUCAGAGCGACUCUAACAGAGACCUGCACAGAGAAAAUAUAUCAAGGUCACUUUGCUACCCCCUAAAAUCCCUAGCACUGCACUCACUUGGUGAAAAUGAGCGGCAUCUACCUCAUUACCAGCAGCGGUUUUCUCCUGGCGGCCUCUGCCCUCUUCUAGAUAAGAUUCCUUGAGAUACCAAACAAUAGAAAAGCCUCCUGCAUCAGACAGUGUCCAACGACCCGCUGACAGUUCCUUCUCAGGAUCACCCAAUCACAACCCCCAUGCUGAUAUCAAACUGUAACGUUCAUGAUAGAAACGGUGAGAGUUCCUCUGAUGCCGUCCUUCUGAGACUGCCCUCAGUUCCUCAGGCCAUGCUCCCCCUCACUGUCAAGGGAAUCCACCCGGCUGGUCUAGGUCGGCCUUGCUCACGGGGCUCCUCUUGCAGGCCUUGUGCUGGAGGACACGGAACAGGAAGGAUCUCGGCUUGGACAAAGCUUCCUCAGAAAACCUUCUCCGGCUCCCCUAUGAGGCCAGGCCCCCUGUGCUGGGUUUCCCACGCUGGCCCUUCUUCCCUUGUGACAGCCUCUGCACACCUGCGCAUGUUUCUCCUAGAACCCUGAACGCUUCCGGUGGGCCCAGUGAGGAGGGAGGCGUGCCUGACCACACUCCCAGUACUGACUGUGGCCCUUGUUAAAAAUUGUUUCACAAAAUCUCCUUAAUUAAUGGGCACAGGAAUCAAUGCUUCCUCUACCUCAUAUAUAAGUUGCAUUACUAAAAUCAUAUUUUCAUGAAGGGUCUUAACUCUUUCCAGUAGCCAAUAUCAUGUUUCAAAGAAAAUCUGUAAAAAUAAAAUGGCAUUGAAACUUCAA